UUAGUGAAAACAAAAUUACAAUGUUGACUAGUGAAAACAAAAUUACAAUGUUGACUAGCUAAAUUGUUGACAAAAUUACAGUGUUGACAAGCUAAAUUGUUGACAAAAUUACAGUGUUGACUAGCUAAAUUGUUGACAAAAUUACAGUGUUAACUAGCUAAAUUGUUGACAAAAUCAGUGUUGAUUAGUGAAAACAAAAUCACAGUGUUGACUUAGUGAAAACAAAAUUACAAUGUUGACUAGUGAAAACAAAAUUACAAUGUUGACUAGCUAAAUUGUUGACAAAAUUACAGUGUUGACUAGCUAAAUUGUUGACAAAAUUACAGUGUUGACUAGCUAAAUUGUUGACAAAAUUACAGUGUUGACUAGCUAAAUUGUUGACAAAAUUAGUGUUGACUAGCUAAAUUGUUGACAAAAUUACAGUGUUGACUAGCUAAAUUGUUGACAAAAUUACAGUGUUGACUAGCUAAAUUGUUGACAAAAUUACAGUGUUGACUAGCUAAAUUGUUGACAAAAUUACAGUGUUGACUAGCUAAAUUGUUGACAAAAUUACAGUGUUGACUAGCUAAAUUGUUGACAAAAUUACAGUGUUGACUAGCUAAAUUGUUGACAAAAUUACAGUGUUAACUAGCUAAAUUGUUGACAAAAUUACAAUGUUGACAAGCUAAAUUGUUGACAAAAUUUCAAUGUUGACUAGUGAAAACAAAAUCACAGUGUUGACUAGUGAAAACAAAAUUACAUGUUGAUUGUUGGCAAAGUUUAAGACUUGUUUGAGUGCCUUCUUUACAUCCAUCCCAGACUCCAGAAAAAUGACGGGGAACUCUGCAAUAUAAUUAAUCACAGUUUAUGUCUGUAAUAUUUUACAAUGACAUGUCAUGUGUUGUGUAGUCAUGUGCAAUACUUUCAUUUAUACGUUUAUCAGUUUCUAAUUAUGUUUCAAUUUCUCAUUAUUGAAUAAUUCUUGAAACAUGAUGACUAUCCCCGAUAUAUAUAAAGGGUAAUUUGUUAUCAUGUUAUUCAUCACAUAUACUAUAUACUCAUUGAUACUAUACGUAUGUACAUUAUCACUAUUUGUCAUAACAAACUAUCAUUACAAGAUUGUAACAUUAAAUCAUUCACCCCUUCAUCUUUAAACUGGACUUACCCAGUUUUUGAUUUGGUAAGGUUCAAAUGUAACUUUAGAGGUGAAUUGGUUCAUAUUCUCUGUCAUUCUCUUCAAUAAGGUACAAGCAAGUGAGGGAGGGGUGAUAACUGUAUUGUGGGCAUUCACUACAGUAAAUCAAGGCCACCCUGGGGGGUCCAAAUAGUGUGACUGUCCACAGCAUUAUAAUUCGUUGUAAUAUACAUAGCAAAUCUAUGUAAGAUUAUAAAUGAGGGGUACUUUUUGUAUUACAGGAAUUCAUUGUGUUAAAAAUGAGAUGGCUCAAUGAGUAAGUUAGCAUGUUAUGUAACAGUUUUGUAUGCACGGUGUAUUUGACACUCCAGAUUUUGAUAUACACAAAUGAGUAAUACAAACUGAACUAAACCUUGCAAUAAACUGCUCUUAAACUAUUUAAUUAACCUUAAAUAGUAAUAACCUGAAAUAAGUUGACCUAUACAUGGAGUAAACUUCUCAACAUCACUUUUUAAGUAACGUUUUAUAAAGCAUGCAGAUUUAGACAAUAUUUUAUGUCUAUUGAUAAUUUGGAACAACUUAGGAUUUCAUUUGUUAAUAAAUAUGAUUGAAGAGGUUUAAAUUAAAUGAUAUGUAAAAUAAUUUGGUGAUAUUAAUCCAUAACUAUAAUUUCAAUAAGAAGAAAGACAGAUAUUGAGAAGUACAUAAUCUAAUUAAUCAAAGAGUGGAAACAGAAAGUAGGAAGGAAAAAUAAACAGGUGACGUGUCUUACAACGAAGAAGUUCUAAAAUACAGUACAUAUCACUUUUUAUGGACAGUACAAUAAAAAGUAAUCUUUUUAUAUCUUUAAUAUUAUUCUUCCAUUUAUAAUGAUAUAGAUUACAAUGUACAUGUGUUUGUGUUCAUUUGUACAUUUGUAUUGCAAUGCUGCAAUACCGACUUCUGCUAUUAUCUAGCUAUGUAUUUCAAUAGCAUUUCUCUCUUUUAGGAGUGUUAAUUUACAGACAUAAACAUUGAAAAUGUAUUGGUCGAUAAAGAAGCAUUGUAAUAACAUACGCAGUUGUUUGUUAACCUGUUAACCCCUAAAAUUUCAUAAUGAACUAUUCCAACCUUUGAAUUGGAGCAGUUCAAAUGUGUCUUCAGGGGUGAAUAAGUUCAAAGAAAUCAAUAAUGUAGAUCCAUUUUUUGUCUAGAUUAAUUUUGUUACUUUACACUGCAAGCACAUUGUUAUUGGUUGUGUUGUAAGAAUAUUUUUGCCAUGGACUUAGAUCGUGAAAUAUAAUGUAGGUAUACAUUUUGCUUUUCAAAAUAUACAAUCAUCAGAAAUAUUGUUGGGCAUUUGUUUGUACAUUCUGAACCUGUUUUAUGGUAAAAGCUUUAUUUGAGUUUUCCUAUCUACUGCAGACUUAGAUUUUGAAGCCUGAUGAAUAUCCCUGAGAAUGUCUGUUUUAGACAGUCUAGUUCUAGAGCUACUUACCAUCACCUGACUUUGUCAUGGAAUUCUAAAUUGACUAAAUAACAUGAAGAUUGUGAGUUUUCAAGAUGUCCAAUCCCACACCUACUCUCCUCGAUGUUUUCAAAUCUCCGAGGGGGGAGACCAUCAUCUGUGCAACAACCGGGAGGUCUGUUCCAUAGUGGUGAUAUAUAGUAUUAUUCAACAGCCCACAUUCAUAGUAACAAAGAAGUACAAAUAAAAAGAAUGAGCAACAACAGUUUUGAACACAAUCAAGGUGUUGUUUCUCAUCCUUUCUAUUUGUCUCCUUGUAUUGUAUGUCACGUGUUCAGGGUGCCUUAUCCUAGGCAAAUACACUCUGAGCGUGUGGGCUUUUGGACUGCCUACUACCAGGCUAUUCCAUGGAUUGUAAGUGGGCAGGGUAUCUUCUUUUAGGCUAAUGAAAUAUCUGGGCUUGCAGGAUUUUGUACAGCAUAAUACCAGGCUAUUCCAUGGAUUGCAAGUUUGCAGGCUGUCUUAUCCUAGACUUAUAGUUGAGCUUGUUGGCUUUUCGACUAUCUAAUACCAGGCUAUUCCAUGGAUGUCAGGUUUCAUGCUGUCUUAUCCUAGACUAAUAGUCUCUGGGCUUGUUGGCUUUUGACUGUCUAAUACCAGGCUAUUCAAGAGAAUGUAAGGUGUCAUGCUGUCUUAUCCUAGACUUAUAGUCUCUGGGCUUGUUGGCUUUUCGACUGUCUAAUUCCAGGCUAUUCCAGGGAUUGUAAGGUUUCCGGCUGUCUUAUCCUAGACUUAUAGUCUCUGGGCUUGUUGGCUUUUGGACUGUCUAAUUCCAGGCUAUUCCAGGGAUUGUAAGGUUUCAGGCUGUCUUAUCCUAGACUUAUAGUCUCUGGGCUUGUUGGCUUUUGGACUGUCUAAUUCCAGGCUAUUCCAGGGAGUGUAAGGUUUCAGGCUGUCUGUUGAAGUACUAGAAAGGUCUACAGUAGAACCUUAGUUUUGAUGUUGUGGUAAGACUGACCAUGAAUUUUGUUCAGGACAUCAUACUCAAUAUAUUGUUGACUUUUUCUGUGAAGAAUACAGAAACAAAUUUGAUACAUCAUUUGUUUAAUUAGAUUUAUGUAAAUCAGUACAAUUGUAUCCGUUAGAUAUUUUGCAAGAAAUCAUCAUUUAGACAGUCAGUACAAUUAUAUUUGUUAGGAUACUUUUUUUUCAAGAAAUCAUCAUUUAGACAGUCAGUACAAUUGUAUUUUUUAGAUACUUUUUUUCAAGAAAUCAUCAUUUAGACAGUCAGUACAAUUAUAUUUGUUAGAUACUUUUUUUCAAGAAAUCAUCAUUUAGACAGUCAGUACAGUUAUAUUUCUUAGAUACUUUUUUUCAAGAAAUUCUCAUUUAAACAGCUGCAAGUUCAAAUAAGAAUUUUUAAAAAAAAUUUUACUUCAUGUAACUUAUCUGUUUUUGAGUAGUCAAAUAUUCUCUUUAAAUUUUCUGUAUCAUGAAACAAUUUAGAAGACAAUGUAAUAAAAUAAAGUCAGAAUUAAAUGUCAUGGUAUGACAUGAUGAGGUUGCGUGUAACAAAAUAUUUCUUUCCCCAGUUCUUCAUUACUUUGUUUGCUUACCGGUAAUGAGAAGCUAAUGUCAAACUUUCAUCUUGUUUGAUUCAAAAAUAGUGACACUUAUAAUAAAAUUAAAUAAAUAGAGAUUCAACAUCCUCUUUGAGGUAAUGCUAUCCAAAAAAAUGUAGGUAAUGUUUUACCAAUGUCACAAAAAAACACUUCGAAAAAUUGAAGAAAGGACUUGUUAACUCAUUCAGUCAUGAAACUUCAUAAUGAACAAUUUCAACCAAUGAAUUGGAAGAGUUUAAAUGUGUCUUCAGGGGUGAAAAACUGAACCCUGAAUCUUUCUCGAAUGCCACGGGAGUUCUACUUGUUUUCAUUUGAUAAUUUAUGUUUAUAUGUUGGAUCUGUUUUUAUGUAACUCGAAACCUAAUUAUUGUUCACAUUUUGAAAACUUGAUUUAUUAUUGUACAAGAAAUUAUGAAAUAAUAUUAUUUACUUCACUUUACUUACAAGUGUGUUCCAUGAGUUCACUGUCACCAAUCUCUCUAGUCGUUUAGUAUACAAUCUAGUCAGUGUGUAUUAUACACACACCCCAUGUACUUCCCUGUAAAAUGAACACCUUCCUUCACAUUACUGGAGUAUAUAUAUAUAUAUAGUAUUAUAGAUCGACUGUAUAUCUGUUAUUAUAAGUGGUGUAUAUUUUCUCUAUUUUUGUGGUUAUGUGUAAUAAACUUAUUACAUGGUG